CGGUAAUUCCAGCUCCAAUAGCGUAUACUAAAGUUGUUGCAGUUAAAAAGCUCGUAGUUGGAUUUCUGCGGGGACGGAGCGGCCGGUCGCAACUUGCGACUCGAGCUAGCGCUUUCCCCGCAUCCUGCCGCGAACCGUGCUACCAUUAGUUUGGUGGCGCUGGGGAUCGGCUCGAUUACUUUGAGAAAAAUAGAGUGUUCAAAGCAGGCCACACGCCUUGAAUAAGUUAGCAUGGAAUAAUGACUAAGGACUUCGGUUCUAUUUUGUUGGUGUUCGGGACUGAAGUAAUGAUUGAUAGGGACAGUUGGGGCGGUCUGUAUUCCAAAGCGAGAGGUGAAAUUCUUAGACCUUCGGAAGACAAACAGCUGCGAAAGCGUUCCGCAAGGAUGUUCCCUUUGAUCAAGAACGAAAGUUGGGGGAUCGAAGACGAUCAGAUACCGUCGUAGUCUCAACUAUAAACUAUACCAGCUAGGGACCGGUCAACGUUUAAUUAUUCGACUUGAUCGGCACCUUAUGAGAAAUCAAAGCAUCUGGGUUCCGGGGGGAGUAUGGUCGCAAGGCUGAAACUUAAAGGAAUUGACGGAAGGGCACCACCAGCCGUGGAGCCUGUGGCUUAAUUUGACUCAACACGGGAAAACUUACCAGGUCCAGACAUAGUAAGGAUUGACAGAUUGAUAGCUCUUUCUUGAUUCUGUGGGUGGUGGUGCAUGGCCGUUCUUAGUUGGUGGAGUGAUUUGUCUGGUUAAUUCCGUUAACGAACGAGACCCCAGCCUGCUAAAUAGCGCGGCUGAGCUUUGCUCGGUGCGAGCUUCUUAGAGGGACUAUGAUGCGCGAUAGCACAUGGAAGUUUGGGGCAAUAACAGGUCUGUGAUGCCCUUAGAUGUUCUGGGCCGCACACGGGCUACACUGGCGCCUGCAACGAGCAUAUCAGCUGGCCCGAGAGGGUCUUGGCUAAUCUUUUGAACCGGCGCCGUGCUUGGGAUUGACCUUUGCAAUUGUUGGUCAUGCAACGAGGAAUGCCUUGUAAACGCGAGUCAUCAGCUCGCAUUGAAUACGUCCCUGCCCCUUGUACACACCGCCC
rnacentral:rRNA from 1 species